rnacentral:rRNA from 1 species
UACGUAGGCAGCAAGCGUUGUUCGGAGUUACUGGGCGUAAAGGGUGCGUAGGCGGCUUCUUAAGUCUGGUGUGAAAUCUCCCGGCUCAACUGGGAGGGUGCGCCGGAUACUGAGGGGCUAGAGUGUGGGAGAGGAAAGUGGAAUUCCAGGUGUAGCGGUGAAAUGCGUAGAUAUCUGGAGGAACACCGGUGGCGAAGGCGGCUCACUGGCUCGUAACUGACGCUCAGGCGCGACAGCGUGGGGAUCAAACAGG